rnacentral:rRNA from 1 species
AUUGAACGCUGGCGGCAGGCUUAACACAUGCAAGUCGAGCGGAGAUGAGGUGCUUGCACCUUAUCUUAGCGGCGGACGGGUGAGGAAUGCUUAGGAAUCUGCCUAUUAGUGGGGGACAACAUUCCGAAAGGAAUGCUAAUACCGCAUACGUCCUACGGGAGAAAGCAGGGGAUCUUCGGACCUUGCGCUAAUAGAUGAGCCUAAGUCGGAUUAGCUAGUUGGUGGGGUAAAGGCCUACCAAGGCGACGAUCUGUAGCGGGUCUGAGAGGAUGAUCCGCCACACUGGGACUGGGACACGGCCCAGACUCCUACGGGAGGCAGCAGUGGGGAAUAUUGGACAAUGGGGGGAACCCUGAUCCAGCCAUGCCGCGUGUGUGAAGAAGGCCUUAUGGUUGUAAAGCACUUUAAGCGAGGAGGAGGCUACUGAGACUAAUACUCUUGGAUAGUGGACGUUACUCGCAGAAUGAGCACCGGCUAACUCUGUGCCAGCCGCCGCCGUAACAC